rnacentral:rRNA from 1 species
UACAGAGGUCCCAAGCGUUGUUCGGAUUCAUUGGGCGUAAAGGGUGCGUAGGCGGCGCGGUAAGUCGGGUGUGAAAUUUCGAGGCUUAACUUCGAAACUGCAUUCGAUACUGCCGUGCUUGAGGACUGGAGAGGAGACUGGAAUUUACGGUGUAGCGGUGAAAUGCGUAGAUAUCGUAAGGAAGACCAGUGGCGAAGGCGGGUCUCUGGACAGUUCCUGACGCUGAGGCACGAAGGUCAGGGGAGCAAACGGG